rnacentral:rRNA from 1 species
UACGGAGGAUGCGAGCGUUAUCCGGAUUUAUUGGGUUUAAAGGGUGCGUAGGCGGCUUAGUAAGUCAGCGGUGAAAUUUUGCAGCUUAACUGUAACAGUGCCGUUGAUACUGCCAGGCUAGGAUUUGGUUGCUGUGGGUGGAAUGUGUGGUGUAGCGGUGAAAUGCUUAGAUAUCACACAGAAUAUCGAUUGCGAAGGCAGCUCACAAAGCCAAGAUUGACGCUGAGGCACGAAAGUGUGGGGAUCAAACAGGAUUAGAAACCCUAGUAGUCC